UGGACUAAGAACUCUCG
rnacentral:misc_RNA from 1 species